rnacentral:rRNA from 1 species
UACGUAGGGAGCGAGCGUUGUCCGGAUUCAUUGGGCGUAAAGAGCUCGUAGGCGGCUUGGUAAGUCGGAUGUGAAACCUCCAGGCUCAAUCUGGAGUCGCCAUCCGAUACUGCCAUGGCUAGAGUCCGGUAGGGGCCCACGGAAUUCCUGGUGUAGCGGUGAAAUGCGCAGAUAUCAGGAGGAACACCGGUGGCGAAGGCGGGUCUCUGGGCCGUUACUGACGCUGAGGAGCGAAAGCGUGGGGAGCGAACAGG